rnacentral:rRNA from 1 species
UUUAGAGGAAGUAAAAGUCGUAACAAGGUCUCCGUUGGUGAACCAGCGGAGGGAU